GGCAAGAUGACCGAGUGGUUAAGGUGUAAGUUAAACAUAUUUUCGCCUCUUUAUACUGAGUACUAAUAAACAAUGAAGGUAUGACUCAAGAUCUAUUCUUAGCACUAGAUAACUAGUGGUUUCAUAUGUCGCAAGACGCGUGGGUUCGAAUCCCACUCUUGUCA
rnacentral:tRNA from 1 species